rnacentral:rRNA from 1 species
CUGGCUCAGGACGAACGCUGGCGGCGUGCUUAACACAUGCAAGUCGAACGCUGAAGCUUGGUGCUUGCACUGGGUGGAUGAGUGGCGAACGGGUGAGUAAUACGUGAGUAACCUGCCCUUGACUCUGGGAUAAGCCUGGGAAACUGGGUCUAAUACUGGAUACGACAUGUCACCGCAUGGUGGUGUGUGGAAAGGGUUUUACUGGUUUGGGAUGGGCUCACGGCCUAUCAGCUUGUUGGUGGGGUAAUGGCUCACCAAGGCGACGACGGGUAGCCGGCCUGAGAGGGUGACCGGCCACACUGGGACUGAGACACGGCCCAGACUCCUACGGGAGGCAGCAGUGGGGAAUAUUGCACAAUGGGCGGAAGCCUGAUGCAGCGACGCCGCGUGAGGGAUGACGGCCUUCGGGUUGUAAACCUCUUUCAGCACGGAAGAAGCGAAAGUGACGGUACGUGCAGAAGAAGCGCCGGCUAACUACGUGCCAGCAGCCGCGGUAAUACGUAGGGCGCAAGCGUUGUCCGGAAUUAUUGGGCGUAAAGAGCUCGUAGGCGGUUUGUCGCGUCUGCUGUGAAAGCCCGGGGCUUAACCCCGGGUGUGCAGUGGGUACGGGCAGACUUGAGUGCAGUAGGGGAGACUGGAAUUCCUGGUGUAGCGGUGAAAUGCGCAGAUAUCAGGAGGAACACCGAUGGCGAAGGCAGGUCUCUGGGCUGUUACUGACGCUGAGGAGCGAAAGCAUGGGGAGCGAACAGGAUUAGAUACCCUGGUAGUCCAUGCCGUAAACGUUGGGCACUAGGUGUGGGGAACAUUCCACGUUUUCCGCGCCGUAGCUAACGCAUUAAGUGCCCC